GGGACUGUUGACAGCUCAUCUGUAGAUUCUCCUUGUGAGCCUGCCUUGUUGGAUGCAGGGCGUGAAAUGAAGAAUGCUGUACUACAAAUAGAAGAUGCUUUCUGUAAAUUGAAGGACUGUUCCUCAGAGGAAACUAGCAACUCUACCUUUAGAAAGCCAUCUUCUCCAGAAUCAGGCAUGCCCUCUGUUGCUUCAAUUGCCAACUUCUCUUCAAAGGAUGUUUCUGAUUUCCAUUGUAAGGGUGAUGAUGUGGGCAACUCUACCUUUAGAAAGCCAUCUACUCCAGAAUCAGGCCUGCCCUCUGUUGCUUCAAUUGCCAACUGCUCUUCAAAGGAUGUUUCUGACCUCCAUUGUAAUGGUGAUGUUUCUACUACCACUACUAUUGCUACUAAUAAUGCUGUGGACGAU
rnacentral:lncRNA from 1 species